GGGCUGGGGUGGCUGAUGGAGACGCCAUGGGAGCUGGGUCUUCCAUUCAGGUGGCUUGGUUAGCAUGUGAGGGGAGGGGAACCCGGGGAAGGAGCUAUGUGUGAGGAAGUUUGGGUUGCUGGUCCAGGUGAGGAGUGCUGAAUCAAGGCUGCCUCCCUUUCCUGGCCGAUGAAGGCAGGGCCUGUGUCCCCUUUGCUCCCUGUGGGCCAGGGCAUCCAGCACUGGGCCCAGCAUGAGGAAUGUUUGAUGAGUGGACAAGCUAGUGAAUGAAUGAAUGAAAAAAUGAAUGCAUGAAUGGGUGAUGAGUAACCCAUGAAUCAAAAUUUCCCCAGAGGUUUAGAGCUCAGGCAAUGAGAGGACCAGGGAUGCUUAGACAAACACUGAGAAGCUACAGCCCAGGUGGAGUGGGGCUGGAGCUGGGGCCCGAGUCCAGGCAACGGAAGCUCCUUUAUCAGAAACAGCCUUUAGCUAUUGAAUUUUCUGUCCUGCUGUGUUUUGCACAUUUCCAUGUUUCUGUUUUGGGGGACGCUAACAUCCUUGACUGGAGAUGACGCUAAGGCAACUGACCUGGCUGGCCUGGGACACUGGUCACUACAAGGGGCAUGCGCCUCAUACCUUCAUCUCCUUCUUCCAGGCCGUCCCUGGUGUUCUUCUCAAACUUAGGUAAAUAUGCCUUAGAACACAGAGGCAUAGGGGGCACCUUCUGAGGGCUGCCUUUCCGGGCCCAUUGCCGUAAUCCAGGAGAGAUGGACAGCCUACCCCCAGCCAAGGACAGAGAUGAAAGCGGCGCCCAGCAGCCCAGUCAGAUGGAUGGAGUGGCCUGAUUUCCCGAGGCAGCUUCGUGCUGAGUGCCCAUCACUGGGAGUGAGUCAGACAUACAGCUCAAGGUCUGCAGUAACAGAGUCAGGGAGACAAGGCAUAUACCACAAACUCAUGAAAAGUAACAGUACAGAAAGUAAGUAACGAUACAAGGGAGGCAGUAUGUUAUUAAUUGUCAGAGAACACAAGGUAGGAAGUCUGGGGCCCUGGAGAGCCUAGCAGAGUUGCCUCAGCACUGGAAUACUUUGUGCAAGAAGCAGGAACUGGAUAGGUGGGGGGAGGGUGCUGGGUACAGGCAGCUGAUGAACAAAGAUGGAAUGCAGGGAUCAACGGGCAAGUGGCGGUUAGGGUAGAGCUGGGUGCAGGCAGUGCCAAGGGAUUGGUGGGCACAGGUCCUCCAGGCCACCUGGGAGUAGUGGGAAGAAUUGGGAAAGUUGGGCAGGAGCUGGACAGGGAGGAAACAGACUGCUGGGUCUGGCUUCCCUCUGGUGUCUAACCAUGAGCUUCUGAAGGCUUUUCCGUAGGAAAAGUUAUGAAACCCGGUGUUACAUUCUCAAGAUCACAGGACUUCUCAUCACAAAUUGUUCAUAUUAUUCUGUUAGAAACCAGUUCCAGUGCUGGUGAGUACUCUGAAUUUUUGUUUCUUAAAGAGUAUCAAAGUUCAUGAUUAUUUUAUUGUCAGUACACAUCCUCUCUAUUGUGAAGGGCACACAGGAAGCCUUGUUUUUGUUUCUCCAGUGAAGUAAUGAAGGGCAGACUGGCUCUGCUGACAUGGGCAAGUUAGUCAAUCUCUCUGCCUCCUAGGAGUAAUACACAGGGCAGUCAGAGCUUCUGUCAGUCAGAGGUGUAUCGUGAGGAUGGCCCGAGCCAGUAUCGAGACAGUCCUUAGAGACGUACCUGGCAUGCAGAGAGCUGCAGGAGGGUUUACUGACCGAAUCACAGACAAUUCUGAUAGCACUUUCCCCUGUCAGGACAGCUCAGAUAGAAACACUGGAAGUUUCAGGCCUUAUUCGAAUCUUUUCUUCUAGAAAGAGGGUUUUCAAGAGGGGUAGCCCCAGAGCCCCCUCAGAAUGGAGGGUUUGAGCUGGAAGAGGCUUAUGAGAGCAGCCAGUGCGGGGCCCCUUUUGCAGGUGAGGAAACUGAGAAUGUGGCCUCGUGGAGCAGCAGCCUCUGAACGGCUCCCUGGCUGUCUCUCCCCUCAUGCAGGGGCCUCCUCCCACCUCUGGGCUGCUGCCCUUGAUCUUUGCCCAGAGAGGUGUGCGCCCCCCCCACCCUCCUGCCUGCCUCUUCGUCCCCUCACUCUGCUCUCUGUACUGCUCCCUGGCUGUGCCUGUAAGUGCUCGUGCGUGCACUGUGGCUCCUCCAUAAGCCUCACCAGGCAGGGGGCCUGUGGUCCUGCUCUCUUCCGGCACUUGUGUCCGGCAUGGACACAGCCCCUGGAUGAAAGAACAAAGCUUUGGAAGCCCUGGUUCGGGUAUGUCUCCUUCACAUCUCUUCCUUCCGCGGCUCAAUGUAAAGAGCAGCAAUGCGGCCAGACCCUGAGAGCAUCUCCUGGGUGCUGCUCCUCCAUCUCAAUGGGUGUUCUUUCACAUCUCAAUGGUCCUUCUUUCACACAGGCUGGAACGUGGCAGCCGGGGCCUGCUUACUGUUCUCUGUCCAACCCUGUCCUGUGCCUGGUACCCAGCAGGUGUUCACCGAGCACUUGGAAUGGAUGGUGCAAGCCCCCUCUGAUGUGGAGCCAGUGUCUGUAAUCGCUUUACUUCUCAGAACCAUGCGGUAGUUAGCAUUUCCACUUGCCGGGCACUGUCCAUCUUUUCAUCAAGGAGGUUUAUGUCUACAUAGUAGGGAUAUCCUUGAGACACAUCAGUGCAAUGGGACAAGCUCACCCUCUUUUUACCGUCUGGCUUGGGUU
ensembl:lncRNA